GGGGGGGGGGGGGGGGGGGGGGGGGGGGGGGGGGGGGGGGGGAGGGGCGGGGGGCUGGCGGCUCGGAGGUGAGCGGCGGACGGGUGAGUAACGCGGGGAUAGCCUACCUAUAGGACUGGGAGAACUUCGGUACGCCGGAGCUAAUACCGGGUACUAGAUUGGACCGCAUGGUUCAUUGGUGAAGGACGGUUUUGCUGUCACGUAUCGAUGGAUCCGCGCCGCAUUAGCUAGUUGGUAAGGUACCGGCUUACCAAGGCAACGAUGCGUCGCCGACCUGAGAGGGUGAUCGGCCACACUGGACAUGCGACACGGUCCAGACUCCUACGGGAGGCACCAGUAGGGAAUCUUCCGCAAUGGGCGAAAGCCUGACGGAGCAACGCUGCGGGAGUGAUGAAGGUCUUCGGAUCGUAAAACUCUGUUAUUAGGGAAGAACAAAAGUGUAAGUAACUAUGCACGUCGUGACGGUACCUAAUCAGAAAGCCACGGCUAACUACGUG
rnacentral:rRNA from 1 species